rnacentral:rRNA from 1 species
UACGAAGGUCCCGAGCGUUGUUCGGAUUUACUGGGCGUAAAGAGUCUGUAGGCGGUGGGUAAGUCAGAUGUGAAAUCCCGGGGCUCAACCUCGGAACUGCAUCCGAUACUGCCUUGCUAGAGUAUUGGAGGGGAGUCUGGAAUUCUCGGUGUAGCAGUGAAAUGCGUAGAUAUCGAGAGGAACACUAGUGGCGAAGGCGAGACUCUGGACUGUAACUGACGCUGAGGCUCGAAAGCGUGCGGAGCAAACAGGAUUAGA